UCCUGGUACUGUAGCCACUGAACCUUCAAUGUCCAAAAAUUCCAGCUGACUCAUCCGUGGGUGAACAAGGCCAAUUCAAGGGGAGGGUGGAACCUUGUGAGGCUAUCUCUGUUGAGGUCCCCAAUUCAAAGGGAGAGCAGGGCAUGGGGUGAUAGCCUGGAUGUGAGUCAUUUCUGUUUGAAUGGCAUUCAGGUGUCUUUUGAGACAUCAGCACGAGGUAACAGGUGAGGCAUGGCUAUGGAGUAGCUGCCUUGGCUCUGACCUCAGAUCCCUGGACCAGGCUCCAUCAUUACCACUCUUGUGGCUCCAUUAACUCUGGCAGUCUCAGACAUCCUGUGGAGAUGGUUGUGAGUAGUGGUUCCCAAGCAGUAGUAGAUGAAGCAAGAGUAUGCAAAUGAGCACUUUCCCUGACACACUGGAGCUACUUAGCAAUGAUGACCUGGAUUGGGAUGUCACCCCUUUGAUGCAAUGACGUGAGACCUGCUUCCGGGUGGGCAGGCGGCUGUGUAAUCAUAGCUCAUUUGGUCCCAUGAGACUAAAGGCUGCCAAAUUGCAUGGUGGUGGGAAGUCCCAGCCUGUUUUGGGAUUCAGAAUGGCAUUUCUCUUUGAAUUUCCCCAUCAGACCAGAGUAGGGCAGCCGAGCCUCCCGUGCACAGAGGGCUGUGACCACAGACAGGGAACAGGGCUAAAGGGAAAGGGCAGUGGCUUUUCUAGUGUUCACAAUUCCAGAUGGCUUUUCUAGUGUUCCUCCAGAUGGCUGAUAACCAGAUCCCUGCCAAGUUCCUCCUGCCCCUCCCCAGACUUGUACGAUGCCAAAGUGUUUCUCAAAAGGGGGAAAUACAGGCCUUUCAUCACUGCCUCCUCAUGGGUUCACAGGCCCCCAGCUUAGCCCUGCCUUCCAGUUGUCUUCCCAGGGAUACCUCAGGAUAUUUACUCCCAGCUCUGUCCUGGGACCAGGGCGGGAGCCUGAGGCAUGGAAACAGGAGAAGAUAUGGAUGGUGACACAAUAUUGGGACUCUCCUUUCCCUGCCUACAGAAGACACACAAGAGGCCAACACAAAGGGACAGGAGAUUCAGACGUAUCCUUCCUCAGCAGGCUAGCCCUGGGGCAAAGAGACCAACAGUCCUGAGUUCAAAUCCUCACCCUACCCCAGAUCUGGGGCUUGCCCUAUCUCUCAUUCUCUUAGGUAAAGUGACUGUGACAAUGGCCAUCUCUAGAGUUGUGUUAAGGAUUGAGAUGGCAAGUGUGCAGUGUGGUGUCGUGCAUUCACAAAAUUACAUUUUUAUUUUGUCCUCACAGACGAGGGCUUGUCUAACUUUGCUGAACUUGUCACCUUCCAGACAGAGAAACUGAAGCCCAGAGAUGGUUGGUGGGAAGAGAACUCAGAUGUUGUUUCCAUGUUUCCAUGCCUCAGCCACUGUACCAGAUGUGGAGAUUGAAGAUCAGAGGAAUGACAUGGUGUGUCCAGUUCACACAUUUAGCCUAACCGGCUGCGGGACCAGGUGGAACAGAAACUCCGACCACUCUCUCCAGAUCCCAAACUAGCCAUAUUUUAAGUGAUCACAAGUAGUGUGUUUGUUAAAUAAAGGGAAAGGUAAGGACUAU